ensembl:snRNA U6 U6 spliceosomal RNA
AUGCUUGCUUCGGCAGCACAUAUGCUAAAACUGGAACCAUACAGAGAAGAUUAGCAUGGCCCCUGUGCAAGGAUGACACGCAAAUUUGUGAAAUGCUCCAUAUUUUU